rnacentral:rRNA from 1 species
GUGAACGCUGGCGGUAGGCCUAACACAUGCAAGUCGAACGGCAGCACAGUAAGAGCUUGCUCUUACGGGUGGCGGGUGGCGGACGGGUGAGGAAUACAUCGGAAUCUACUUUUUCGUGGGGGAUAACGUAGGGAAACUUACGCUAAUACCGCAUACGACCUACGGGUGAAAGCAGGGGAUCUUCGGACCUUGCGCGAUUGAAUGAGCCGAUGUCGGAUUAGCUAGUUGGCGGGGUAAAGGCCCACCAAGGCGACGAUCCGUAGCUGGUCUGAGAGGAUGAUCAGCCACACUGGAACUGAGACACGGUCCAGACUCCUACGGGAGGCAGCAGUGGGGAAUGUUGGACAAUGGGCGCAAGCCUGAUCCAGCCAUACCGCGUGGGUGAAGAAGGCCUUCGGGUUGUAAAGCCCUUUUGUUGGGAAAGAAAAGCAGCAGGUUAAUACCCCGCUGUUCUGACGGUACCCAAAGAAUAAGCACCGGCUAACUUCGU